UAUGGCAAGGCUGCUUGGAGCUAGGAACCCUGCCUGUCAUUCCUCACCCCACUCACCACUCAAGAGGACUCAGAGCCACCACUGGUCACCUGGGCUGCUGCUAAGAAGGCAGGCAAGGCCCAGCACACAUCCCGAGAAUCACCUAUGAGAACUGAGCAGCCAUCUUGGCCUCUGAUUGGAGUAGCAGGUGGGAGGGCUGACACUGGGUUGAAGGGAACAGCCUGGGCCAAACUUAACUCCCAUCUCACAGAGACCUCCCCUUCUCGGGACCUCUGUUUGUCUCCGUAUAAAAUGACGGCAUGGAAGAGGAGAACUCAAUCAGCCCCAUGGGAUGAGAGCCAUUGCUCCCCCACUUUGCAGAAGGGAAAACAGACCCAGAGAGGCUAAGAACAGUGACGCAACUGAACGGGAAAUGAGCCCUGAUAGAUCCGCACCAGACUCCUCUAUGAACGGCCUGACCUUGCGGUGCAGAACUCCGCAUACUCAGACAGGGCUAAAGAAUUACCUCCAUCCCUGGGAGCUGCUGUGAUCAAUAGCAUAGGCCCAGAGCCCCAGGAUCCCAGGGAACGGUGUUCUGGGACUCUUGAGCAAGCCCUGGGAAUGCAGCAUGAGGUGAAAACCAACAACGCGCGGAAGAGAGAAGAGGGAAGAGAAGGGCUCUCCUGGCUCCUCUGGAACCCCAAACUUUGCCUCCAGAAGCAGCUCAGAUGCUGGGGGUGAGAAGAAGGCCUAAACACCUCGAUCCCUAAUUUCCAACAAGGGCAAAAAAAAGUGGAUUUCCGCCCAGCUUCCCUUGGUGUCUCCAAGCAAGAUGGGGGAGAAGAGCUGGGAGCUCUUGAUGCGCCUCCCCCUUGCUAAGAAUGUUUGCCCAGUUCUCAUUAGGGGCCUUCUGAUGGAAUUUUACCAAUGAAGAGACCAAGGAUCUCAAGGAUCACAGCACCCCCUCAAGGUCACAGUCCUACGGCUCAUUAGUCUAGGAGUCCCAGUGGGGCCCGUGCAAUCCAGCACGCACCGUCCUCGCUCCCCUGGAGCUCAGACGGUCCUUGUCUUGGAGGGAAGGAGGCUGAGAAGAGGGAAAGCUGUUUUAGUAUGAGCAGACGUCAUCUGGGCCCUGGCAAGGCCACCAGAUACUGGGAGCAACGGUUUUCUUGUGGGUGUAGCUGUCCUUCCUGUGCCAUCUCUCGUUCGUUGAGUAUUUGUUUUAAACAAGCAAA